AGGACGAACGCUGGCGGCGUGCUUAACACAUGCAAGUCGAGCGGAAAGGCCCUUCGGGGUACUCGAGCGGCGAACGGGUGAGUAACACGUGGGCAACCUGCCCCUAGCUCUGGGAUAACUCCGGGAAACCGGUGCUAAUACCGGAUACGACCUCAUUAGGCAUCCUUUGAGGUGGAAAGAUUUAUUGGCUAGGGAUGGGCCCGCGGCCUAUCAGCUUGUUGGUGGGGUAAUGGCCUACCAAGGCGACGACGGGUA
rnacentral:rRNA from 1 species